UGGGUAACCUACCUAUCCACUGGGAUAACUCCGGGAAACCGGGGCUAAGACCGGAUAAUAUUUUGAACCGCAAGGUUCAAUAGUGAAAAACAGUUUCGGCUGUCACUUAUAGAUGGACCCGCGCCGUAUUAGCUAGUUGUUAAGGUAACGGCUUACCAAGGCAACGAUACUUAGCCGACCUGAAAGGGUGAUCGGCCACACUGCAACUGAAACACGGUCCACACUCCUACGGGAGGCAGCAGUAGGAAUCUUCCGCAAUGGGCGAAAGCCUGACGGAGCAACCCCCCGGGAGUGAUGAAAGUCUUCUGAUCUUAAAACUCUGUUGUUAGGGAACAACAAAUUUGUUAGUAACUGAACAAUUCUUGACGGUACCUAACCCUAAACCCACGGCUAACUACGUGCCAUGUCCGCGGUAAUACCAAGGUGG
rnacentral:rRNA from 1 species